UACAGAGGGGGCAAGCGUUGUUCGGAAUUACUGGGCGUAAAGGGCGCGUAGGCGGCCCGUUAAGUCGAACGUGAAAUCCCCAGGCUCAACCUGGGAACUGCGUCCGAUACUGGCGGGCUUGAAUCCGGGAGAGGGAUGCGGAAUUCCAGGUGUAGCGGUGAAAUGCGUAGAUAUCUGGAGGAACACCGGUGGCGAAGGCGGCAUCCUGGACCGGCAUUGACGCUGAGGCGCGAAAGCCAGGGGAGCAAAACGGG
rnacentral:rRNA from 1 species